rnacentral:pre_miRNA from 1 species
GUUUACCAGUGUGUUCUGCACCAAGGACAGGUGUGUCUACCUGUGUGUGGAUGGUGUUCAGCACUAGAGACAGGUGUGUUUACUU